GCAUGCGAGACAAAGUCACCAUUUCUGUCUCUCUCUCUCUACUCUCAUCUACGAAGCAUAUGCUCCUUCUCUCUAAAAAUUUGUCUGUCCGAUCGCUUUAUCUACACAUAUUUUAGUGUUAAAUGCGUUGAUUCUUUCUGAAAUCCUUGAUUUUUGAAUGUAUCUGUUGAAUCUGCCAGUUCGAUCGCUAGGUUACUACAUGUCUUAAUUUUUUUUUGUUUUUCAGGGUAUGAGUUCGCUGGAAAUGUAAAUCAAGCGAGAUCGGAGUUUGUCUUCAACUCAAGAGUGGAGAUUCUGUACAGGUCGUUCUACUACGAGUGUUUAGGUUUUUGAAGAAAAAAAAACAGUUUGGUGUUUUUUGAACCUGAAAAUUGGCUAGAUGAUGAAAUUUUGACGGAUUUUGUUUUACAGAAUAUGGGUAAAUAUCAACAAAGAAUCUCUGGGUUUUUGAUGUAUGGACUGUGCUAGCAAUUGCUUACAUCUCUGAUUUCAGAGCCGUAAACUGCGAUCUGGAACAUGCAUGACCAGAUCUUUAGGAUCUAGAACCAAGAACUAGACAUGAACAGGUCUACAUAUACAGAAGAUUUUUUUUUCUUUUUUUCGAGCUCAUGCUUAGGAUUUUUGAAAUACAACCAUGACUUUGACAUAUAUACUGUAUGUAAAAUUGCCUGCAAAAAUCUUUUAUGCAUCUAUAUAUCAUGUAUGAUAGCUUUUCAGACUGGUAUCACAUCAAAUAGUAGAAUUGUAUUUCAACCUCUUUGUUCAUAUGUUUUUCUCACACAUAGAACUAUUGUUGUAUUUUUCUUUGUGGUAAAUCAUUCUUUAAUGUGUAUUCAUACUAAUUUUGUAGGAUUAGUUGUAGGAAUACAUAAUUAAAAGCAACUUUUAAGUUUCAUUUAUAAAAUCUUAUCGCAUUGAAAGUUUUUUUUGGUCAUCUUUAAUGUUGUAGACCAUGUUUUUUUUUGAAUAAAUUUCUCAGCACGCUAAGAGCAUCCACUAUAGUGGUUAUUAUAGAGUUAUUGUCAAAUGAAUUAUCUUGGGUGGGGUUAAUAACAAAUAUGGGGUGGAGUUAUUUUGGAAAAGAUUUGUCCUGCAAAUAUAUGAAGAUAAUGUCAGAAAAAAAGAAAAAAGAAAAAAAAAAAGUUAACACUGGCUGUGCGCAAAGGCUACAUGGGCGCGUGCACUGUGCUAACAGCGCGCCUGACACUACAGUUUUUAUUAUUAUUUUUUUUCAAUUUCAAUUUUUGUUAUUUUUUUUCUUUUUUCUUUUUCUCUCCCCUCCCACAUUUUAUUUCCUAAUCACUCUUAUAUUCUAACACCUCGGCAUUUUUACCAUGUAUUUUUGAACAAAUUUCCCUUUCCAUCCAAUGCACCUCAGCAUCCACUCCCUAAUGUUUGACACAUAUCAGAUCUCAGCCUUCUCUCACAGCUCUCUUCCAUCGCGAACUCCUCCAUCAGAUCGUGAGGUUCCAUUCGUCAAUCUCCUCCAUCUCUCGCCCGACGCUGCGGACUGCCGCGACCUGCUCUAGACGCCUCCAUUCCGUCUCGACCUUCCCACGACCGCCACUGCUAGCCUCCACCACCACUAAUCUGGGCAGCUUCGCUUUCUUUUCGCUCAAAAUAUACGAUUGACGAGGAAAUGGAGACGGAGACCGGUAAGAGUAAACAUUGACGACAAGAAGACGGAGACCGGCAAGAGUAACGACGACAUUGACGGAAUGCUACAUUGCAACACAUGAGCAAGUGGGUACCUAGAAAUAAAGCUGAGCUGCUAGAGAUCAAUGACAUUGGCAAGUUUCAUUCUUUGACAGAAUUUGAUGAGGGAAAAUGGUGCUCCAGAAAACGUUUGGAUGGUCACAACAAGCGACGAAGGAUGCCUCAGCCAGACAAUCUCAACAAAAGUUCAGGAAUGCUUUUCCUACUUUUGUCAUUAGGAUGGGAUACUUAGGCAUUUUUGAGAGGUUAUGUAAUCUUUCCGUUGAAUGAGUAUGCACUAUUAUCUACUGUUUUAGCUUUAAGGAUUAUUGAGAAGGAAUAUUAGUUUUGGAGGUUUUUAUGUGAAUUUAGUUUUAUAAAAUUUGCUUUAUAUGUA